rnacentral:tRNA from 1 species
GGUGUUGUGGCUCCGUGGUAGAGCACUCGCCUAGCAUGUGCAAGGUCCUGGGUUUGAUCCUCAGCAACACAU